GGGAUUGUGGCUCAGUGGUAGAGCACUCGUCUCUCAUGUGGGAGGCACUGGGUUCAAUCCUCAGCACCA
rfam:Ictidomys tridecemlineatus contig002747, whole genome shotgun sequence.